ensembl:lncRNA
CUCUAAUGAGAACAGAUGGCUCUCGUCGGGAGAUGGGCUCCAUGUUCUGUGUCUCCCGUGUCCUCUUUCUGAAACGAGAUUUUGGCAGAUCUUUUUUUUUUUUUUUUUAACAGAGAAUUGGAGCCUGUUGUUUAAGUGGUAACCUAGAUGAGUGCCAGGGAAGUGGGAUGUUAAUACACACUAAUACGUUUGCAGCUAACUUUGAAAAGUUCAAAACACUUCCUAAUGGAAAAGGUGAAGUCUUCAAAAGGCCUCGCUUCUGGGAUGGAGGCAAAGGGCGCCAUGAGCACCUGGAAGGAGGUGACGAUUGUAGGUAUUAGCAGAGAGGAAACGGCACCCUUUUCAGCCCAGACUCUGUGACUUCAGCUACCUAUUGCCACCCCAGGACUGGGGCGUGGGACAGUCCCAGGGCAGAGAUUCCACACAGGGGUCAGGAAGGUCAUUCCAGGUUGAAGAGGCCAGGCCGAACCUGGUGACUUCCAUUGACUCCACGCCCACGCCCCCCUCCAGGUCUCAGGAACCCAUUAAGAAAGAAAGGAGAGAUUUUCAAGGUGAGAAACGAGAAAUGAUGAGGGGAAGAGGGUACCCUGUGGAGCAGACUGAAAAAAGAAAAUUGUUUCUGGAGUUAGCUGCUGUGGAGGUGUGUGAAAAGGAAAGAGUAACAGCACCAGCCAUUGGCCAUGUGAAGGACAAGAUGAUGGCAUGAUGCCAAAUAGCUGCUACUGGGUGAGCUGAUGUGAAAGAACCAAGAAAAACAUGAUCAGGCAAAGCCCACCAGCUUAUAUCACUGUUGGAAACACCCAUACCUUUUGACUCAUUAACACUAUUCCAAGAAAUUUAUUCUACAGAAAUACUUCAUAUGUACGAAAGUAUUUAUAAAAAAUAUUGAUCACAACAACAUUUGCUUUGAAAGAAAUCACUAUUUUAAUGUC